CAGUAGGGAAUCUUCCACAAUGGGCGCAAGCCUGAUGGAGCAACACCGCGUGAGUGAAGAAGGGUUUCGGCUCGUAAAGCUCUGUUGUUAAAGAAGAACACGUAUGAGAGUAACUGUUCAUACGUUGACGGUAUUUAACCAGAAAGCCACGGCUAACUACGUGCCAG
rnacentral:rRNA from 1 species